GAAGCUGACCAGACAGUCGCCGCUUCGUCGUUGUCCUCCUUCGGGGGAGACAGGCGAAGGGGAGGAAAGUCCGGGCUCCAUAGGGCAGGGUGCCAGGUAACGCCUGGGGGGUGUAACAGCCUACGACCAGUGCAACAGAGAGCAAACCGCCGAUGGCCCGCGCAAGUGGGAUCAGGUAAGGGUGAAAGGGUGCGGUAAGAGCGUUCAUAAGGUACGGCCCGUACUGAACCCGGGUAGGCUGCUUGAGCCAGUGAGCGAUUGCUGGCCUAGAUGAAUGACUGUCCACGACAGAACCCGGCUUAUCGGUCAGUUUCGAUC
rnacentral:RNase_P_RNA from 1 species